AGAAGGGAGAAGAGACUACAUGACUAGAGAGAAGUAGAAAAGGGUGAGGCUUCCCAUGCCCUUUUGCUCUUGUUUGUGGAGGGAGAGUGCAACUUAUCACGUUUGUCUGGUUUUAGAUGUAUUGUUUUAUUCAUGCAACUCCUGGCACGAACUAAAAUGGCUACUGCAGAUAGAAUAAUGAUGGUCUAAUUCCAUUCCCACGCAUCCAUCAAUACAGUGCUUUGUAAAGCUGUCAGAUGGAAUGUUGAUUUUUUUUCAUUAAAAUCCAUAUUUGGUGUUUCUCUCUCAAAGGCGACAGACAACGUCUUUCAAAAAUGAUUACAGAAGCGUCAACAACAACGCUACACACGCACUCAUGCAGGACGACGGGCAAGCAGGCAGACAGAAUACCCAGGCAGCCACAGAGAGACUCAGCAGAGAGACUCAGCAGAGAGACUCAGCAGAGAGAGACUCAGCAGAGAGACACUCAGCAGAGAGAGGGAUGCAACACAUGGUAAUUCCACAACCCAGUGUGACAGAUGACCGUGACAGAAAAGGAAAGAGAGAGCAGUGGUGUGUAUUCAUGGAGCCAAGGGAAGCCAGGCUUCCCCAAAAAAUUUACCAAAAAAAGACAACCUAAUUUAUCUUUCAUCUCUCUGUGUUUUCAUAAUUUCACAACAAGCUGAAUGUACACUAUAUGACCAAAAGUAUGUGGACACCUGCUCGUCGAACAUCUCCUUCCAAAUCAUGGGCAUUAAUAUGGAGUUGGUUCCCUCUUUACUGCUGUAACAGCCUCCACUCUUCUGGGAAGGCUUUCCACUAGAUGUUGGAACAUUGCUGCGGGGAAUUGCUUCAAUUCAGCCACAAGAGCAUUGGUGAGGUCGGGCACUGAUGUUGGGCGAUUAGGCCUGGCUCGCAGUCGGCGUUCCAAUUCAUCCCAAAGGUGUUCGAUGGGUUUGAGGUCAGGGCUCUGUGCAGGCCAGUCAAAUUCUUCCACACCGAUCUCGACUAACCAAUUGUAUAUGGACCUCGCUUUGUACAUGGAGGCAUUGGCAUGCUGAAACAGGAAAGGGCCUUCCCCAAACUGUUCCCACAAAAUUGAAAGCACAGAAUCGUCUAUUGUAUGCUGUAGAGUUAAGAUUUCCCUUCACUGGAACUAAGGGUGCCUAGUCCGAACCAUGGAAAACAGCCCCAGACCAUUAUUCCUCCUCUACCAAACAUUACAGUUGGCAUUAUGCAUUUGGGCAGGUAGAGUUCUCCUGGUAUCUGCCAAACCCAGAUUUGUCCAUCGGACUGCCAGAAGUGUGAUUCAUCACUCCAGAGAACACGUUUCCACUGCUCCAGAGUCCAAUGGCGGUGAGAUUUACACCACUCCAGCCGAUGCUUGGCAUUGAGCAUGGUGAUCUUAGGCUUGUGUGCGGCUGCUCGUCCAUGGAAACCCAUUUUAUGAAGCUCCCGAUUAACAAUUCCUGUGAUGACGUUGCUUCCAGAGGCAGUUUGGAACUCGGUAGUGAGUGUUGCAACUGAGGACAGAUGAUUUUUACGUGCUACGCGCUUCAGCACUCGGCGGUCCCGUUCUGUGAGCAUGUCUGGCCUACCACUUGGCGGCUGAGCCAUUGUUGCUCCUAGACAUUUCACUUCACCAUAACAGCACUUACAGUUGCCUGGGAAGCUCUAGCAGGGCAGAAAUUUGACAAACUGACUUGUUGGAAAGGUGGCAUCCUAUGAUGGUGAUACGUUGAAAGUCACUGAGCUUUUCAGUAAGGCCAUUCUACUGCCAAUGUUUGUCUAUGGAGAUUGCAUGUCUGUGUGCUCGAUUUUAUACACCUUUCAGCAACAGGUGUGGCUGAAAUAGCAGAAUCCACUAAUUUGAAGUGGUGUCCACAUACCUUUGUAUAUAUAGUGUACCUCACCGGGGAAAGCAUCUGAGCGAGAGAAACAGCACCCCCCCUGUCUCUGUAUGUGUACGCCAUCUGUCUUAUGCAGUCUGGUCAUAAAGAGUAUGACAUUGUUACCGUCCGUGGCAUUGAAUGCAAUGGAAGCCAGCGAGCAUUUGGCUACCCUUGAUAAAAAAAAAGAAAAUAAUAGCCAAUCAGCGUUGAGCUCAACUGUGAAUUGUCCUGGCACACCAAAGAAAGUGUCAUGGGAAACCAGUUUGGAUUUGGCUUCACUCCUAUCACAGAGAAAUACAUAAUCGUUAGAAACAACUUGAAUUGUUGCAUCUCGUCCUCCGGUGGCUAGCUAGCUAGCUAAAAUUAGCCCUUUCCUAAAUUAGCCAUGGAUGAAAAUAGAGAUUUGGACUUGUGGCCAUUCGGAUCAAACCAUAAAAUACAUUGUGCCCCUGGACUGAGAGGAUGGAAGUUUAAUAUGUAGCUAGAUGUAGAUGGCUAAUGUUAACUAGCUAACGUUGCCCAUGAGUUAGGCUAGCGAGCAAUCAUUUUAGCCAGGUAGCCUAGGACAACAAAAAAUGAAAGACUGUACUGUAUGACAGAGUCAUAUACCGUUUCUUCAACAUGAAAGAGAGGAGGAUGGCAUUGGCGUUUCAGGGUAAGUCAACAUGUUUUUUAUACUUGCACGAACACACACACACACACACACACACACGCACACACACACACACACACACACACACACACACACACACACACACACACACACACACACACACACACACACACACACACACACACACACACACACACACAAAUCAGAACCAUGGACAGCCACAUCACAUUUAGCUUACGUUGACUGGACUAAAUAGUUUUUGGUAUCUUUUAGUUGUUACUGUAUUAGACUAAGCAUAGCUGAUUUGAUGAUGUUAAGGUUGAAAUGCUGCUGGAAUAGUGGAGGCAGCUCCUGUUAUAUUUGCGGUGGUUCUAAAUCAAUAGUUGUUUAGUAGUCCGAAAAUGUAGGAAACAUGCACUUUCUUGACCAUGCUGUAUGUCAUGUAACUGAUUGUUACAUGCAAUAUACUUUGUGGACUUCACCGGACAGAGGUUGUUCUCCGGUUUUGUGACGAAACAAAGGUGUGGUUGAAUUUAUUCUGUCACUCAGUCUUCUUAUUGUCUCUGCCUUUAGGCCUAUAUCAUGGUGGCAAGGCAUGUGAACUAACAGGUUAUAGAGCAAACAACGCAGUUAUCCCAACACAUAGGUUGUAAUAUGGCCUUUUUUCCCCCCAGGCUUGGCUUCCUCAGUGAUUUUACCACACACCACUACACAGAGAGAGAGAGAGAGAGAGAGAGAGAGAGAGAGAGAGAUGCUACUCACUCGUUACAGAGCUGCCAGUGUCCUCCUGGGUAGUCACUGUGUGUGGAGGUUUGAUCAAACACUGUUAGAGAAUACUCUGAAAUCACAGGGUGUCCUAUGCUCAGAGGGGGGAUGCCACAUUGUGUGAGUGUGUGCACAAGCACACACUCACACAAGCACACAUAAAACACAUACCCAGACAAAAAUUAAACACAUUAGCAAACUCAAAAUAAACACACACACGCAGGCUCACAGACAAUCUCAGACAUUAACAAACACAUAACCACACUCUGUCACGUCCUGACCAGUAUAAGGGGUUAUUUGUUAUUGUAGUUUGGUCAGGACGUGGCAGGGGUGUGUUUGUUUUGUGUUGUCGGGGUUUUUGGGUAGUGUUCUAUGUUUUGUAUUUCUAUGUUCUAUUUUCUAGUUAUUCUAUUUCUAUGUUUAGUUUAUUGUUUUGACCUUCAAUUGGAGGCAGCUGGUCCUUGUUGCCUUUAAUUGAAGGUCCUAUUUAGUAGGGGUGUUUUUCUAUGGGUUUUGUGGGUAGUUGUUUCUUGUUUAGCUGUGUGCCUGACAAGACUGUUUUCGUCGUUCUUUUUGUUCAGUGUUGAUUUCUUUUAAUAAAGAAGAUAAUGAGCGUUCACGUACCCGCUGCAUUUUGGUCCAAUUCAUACGACGCCUGUGACAUACUCCCCCAUUCAUGGGCCAAAAUUUUGCCGACACACACACAUGCUGCAUGCAUCAACACACUCACACACAUGCACACAUAAGCGCACAUCCUACAGAGAUUGAAAAAAGUUGAUAGAACAGAGUUGUGAAUUAACUGUUAAAGAGACGGUGGACGGAGAGGCACGGGCACAGCCACACCCUCUAGUUCAGAUGGGAACAGUAAUAGUAGGAAUAGUUGGGUCGUUCCGCCAAAUCUGUGCCUUUUGAGAUGUGUAACUGUAAGGGUCCUGUGUGUAGCUGGUGUAGAGAGUCAGGCGCAGGACAGCAGAUAUGAGUAGAACAACACCAGAUCUGUAAGGGUCCUGUGUGUAGCUGGUGUAGAGAGUCAGGCGCAGGACAGCAGAUAUGAGUAGAACAACACCAGGUCUGUAAGGGUCCUGUGUGUAGCUGGUGUAGAGAGUCAGGCGCAGGACAGCAGAUAUGAGUAGAACAACACCAGGUCUGUAAGGGUCCUGUGUGUAGCUGGUGUAGAGAGUCAGGCGCAGGACAGCAGAUAUGAGUAGAACAACACCAGGUCUGUAAGGGUCCUGUGUGUAGCUGGUGUAGAGAGUCAGGCGCAGGACAGCAGAUAUGAGUAGAACAACACCAGGUCUGUAAGGGUCCUGUGUGUAGCUGGUGUAGAGAGUCAGGCGCAGGACAGCAGAUAUGAGUAGAACAACACCAGAUCUGUAAGGGUCCUGUGUGUAGCUGGUGUAGAGAGUCAGGUGCAGGACAGC
rnacentral:lncRNA from 8 species